rnacentral:rRNA from 1 species
GCAUAUCAAUAAGCGGAGGAAAAGAAACCAACCGGGAUUGCCUCAGUAACGGCGAGUGAAGCGGCAAGAGCUCAAAUUUGAAAGCUGGCUCCUUCGGAGUCCGCAUUGUAAUUUGCAGAGGAUGCUUUGGGUGCGGCCCCCGUCUAAGUGCCCUGGAACGGGCCGUCAGAGAGGGUGAGAAUCCCGUCUUGGGCGGGGUGUCCGUGCCCGUGUAAAGCUCCUUCGACGAGUCGAGUUGUUUGGGAAUGCAGCUCUAAAUGGGUGGUAAAUUUCAUCUAAAGCUAAAUACUGGCCGGAGACCGAUAGCGCACAAGUAGAGUGAUCGAAAGAUGAAAAGCACUUUGAAAAGAGAGUUAAACAGCACGUGAAAUUGUUGAAAGGGAAGCGCUUGCGACCAGACUCGCCCGCGGGGUUCAGCCGGCAUUCGUGCCGGUGUACUUCCCCGUGGGCGGGCCAGCGUCGGUUUGGGCGGCCGGUCAAAGGCCCCUGGAAUGUAGUACCCUCCGGGGUACCUUAUAGCCAGGGGUGCAAUGCGGCCAGCCUGGACCGAGGAACGCGCUUCGGCACGGACGCUGGCAUAAUGGUCGUAAACGACCCGUCUUGAAACACGGACCAAGGAGUCUAACAUCUACGCGAGUGUUCGGGUGUCAAACCCGUGCGCGCAGUGAAAGCGAACGGAGGUGGGAGCCCCCUCGCGGGGCGCACCAUCGACCGAUCCUGAUGUCUUCGGAUGGAUUUGAGUAAGAGCGUAAAUGUGGGGACCCGAAAGAUGGUGAACUAUGCCUGAAUAGGGCGAAGCCAGAGGAAACUCUGGUGGAGGCUCGCAGCGGUUCUGACGUGCAAAUCGAUCGUCAAAUUUGGGUAUAGGGGCGAAAGACUAAUCGAACCAUCUAGUAGCUGGUUCCUGC